rnacentral:rRNA from 1 species
UACGUAGGGGGCAAGCGUUGUCCGGAAUCAUUGGGCGUAAAGCGCGUGUAGGCGGCCAGGUAAGUCCGUUCUGAAAGCCCGGGGCUCAACCCCGGGAGGCGGAUGGAUACUGCUUGGCUCGAGUCCGGAAGAGGCGUGUGGAAUUCCCGGUGUAGCGGUGAAAUGCGCAGAUAUCGGGAAGAACACCCGUGGCGAAGGCGGCUCUCUGGGACGGUACUGACGCUGAGACGCGAAAGCGUGGGGAGCGAACAGG